CCUACGGGAGGCAGCAGUGGGGAAUAUUGCACAAUGGGGGAAACUCUGAUGCAGCCACGCCGCGUGAAGGAUGACGGUUCUCGGAUUGUAAACUUCUGUUCUUAGUGAAGUAUAAUGACGGUAGCUAAGGAGCAAGCCACGGCUAACUACGUGCCAGCAGCCGCGGUAAUACGGAGGUGGCAAGCGUUUUCCGGAAUUACUGGGUGUAAGGGGAGCGCAGGCGGGAAGCCAAGUCAGCUGUGAAAGCUACGGGCUUAACUUGUAGACUGCAGUUGAAACUGGUUGUCUUGAGUGAAGUAGAGGUGGGCGGAAUUCCGGGUGUAGCGGUGAAAUGCGUAGAUAUUCGGAGGAACACCGAUGGCGAAGGCAGCCAACUGGGCUGUAACUGACACUGAGGCUCGAAAGUGUGGGGAGCAAACAGGAUUAGAUACCCUUGUAGUC
rnacentral:rRNA from 1 species